rnacentral:piRNA from 1 species
CUUGAAGCUGUACUUAGGAGAGGGUU